rnacentral:hammerhead_ribozyme from 1 species
AUCCAACUGACGAGUCUCAAAUAGGACGAAACACACGUCCUGGAU